GCCGGGUGUGGUGGCGUGCACCUGUAAUCCCAGCUACUCGGGAGGCUGAGGCAGGAGAAUUGCUUGAGCCUGGGAAGUGGAGGCUGUAGUGAGCCAAGAUUGUGCCACUGCACUCCAGCCUGGGUGAGAGAGCUAGACUCUGUCUCAA
rnacentral:SRP_RNA from 2 species